ACGAGGUGGAAAUGUAGGUCAAUU
rnacentral:piRNA from 1 species